rnacentral:rRNA from 1 species
UACGAAGGGGGCUAGCGUUGUUCGGAAUUACUGGGCGUAAAGCGCGCGCAGGCGGUCUUCCAAGUCAGUGGUGAAAGCCUGGAGCUCAACUCCAGAACUGCCAUUGAAACUGUUAGACUUGAGUACGAGAGAGGUGAGUGGAAUCCCCAGUGUAGAGGUGAAAUUCGUAGAUAUUGGGAAGAACACCGGUGGCGAAGGCGGCUCACUGGCUCGUAACUGACGCUCAGGCGCGACAGCGUGGGGAUCAAACAGG